rnacentral:rRNA from 1 species
AGGACAUCCUGAGGGAAGAGGUGUGAGGAGGCAGGGAGGGAGGAAAAAAAAUGCUGACCUUUGUUUUCCUUCACAUAUAAAAAUGAUAUAGAAAUCCCUAAUUUUGUUUUCCCUCUACCCCGGUUCUCCCUAUCCCCUCCCCUCGCCGGCGGCGCGCAGAUCGCGACUGCACCCUCGUCGACGAUCACCUCUGUCGAACCCUAGCAUCCACUUUAAGUUGCUUGUCGGUGCUGUCCUUCCCUCGCCGUCUCCAGCGGUUCUCCCUCGUCGCCCCAAGCUUCCGUCUUCUUCUCCAGCGGCGCUCGCUCCGCGCCUCCGGCGAAGUCGUGGGUGCGGGGGGCUUCCAGCGUCCAUGGUCGACAUCGACGAGUGCUCGGUGGCGCUCGUGCCCGAGCUCGAGCAUGCGCUGGCGAACCCGGACCCCUCCUCUAUCCCCCCGGACGCAUGGGCGCCUUUCGAGGCCGCCGCGCUCGGUGUCAUGUGCCGGAUCCAGCCAACCGUCGCCUCGGAGGGGCGCCGUGCGGCCGUUGUCGACUACAUCCAACGCCUCGUCAAGUGUUCCGUCGGCUGCUCGGUCUUUCCAUUUGGAUCCGUUCCACUGAAAACAUAUCUUCCUGAUGGAGAUAUUGACUUGGCUGCUUUCGGUUAUACAUGUUCUGAUGAAAGCCUGGCAAAUGAGGUACGUGCCAUUCUGGAAUCAGAAGAGCGGCGCGAAGAUGCUGAAUUUGAAAUCAAAGAUGUCCAGUAUAUAAAUGCUGAGGUCAAGCUAGUCAAAUGCUUUGUCCAAAAUAUUGUUGUCGACAUCUCAUUUAAUCAGAUUGGUGGACUAUAUACGCUUUGUUUUCUAGAGCAGGUGGAUCAAAGAUUUGAAAAAACCCACCUUUUCAAGAGAAGUAUAGUGCUUAUAAAAGCCUGGUGUUAUUAUGAAAGCCGCAUCCUUGGAGCCCACCAUGGUCUAAUUUCUACCUAUGCCUUGGAGACAUUAGUGCUAUAUAUCUUCCAUCUCUUCCAUGAGUCUUUGGAUGGUCCAUUAGCUGUACUCUAUAGGUUUCUGGACUAUUAUAGCAAGUUUGACUGGGAUAAUAGGGGUAUAAGCUUACAUGGUCCUAUUUCCUUGUCUUCCCUACCUGAGCUAGUUACCGACUCAUCAGGCAUUCAUGAUGAUUGUUUUCUUGAGCGGGAGAAGUUUCUAAGAGAAUGUGCUCAAAUGUUUACUGCCCCCCCUAGGAACAAUGAGAGAAAUACACGCCCGUUCCCUCGAAAAUUUCUCAACAUAGUGGAUCCAUUGAAGCAGAGUAACAAUCUUGGACGCAGUGUCAGCAAAGGUAACUUUUACAGAAUACGCAGUGCUUUUGAUCUUGGUGCCCGGAAGCUUGGAAAGAUCCUUCAAGUUCCUGCCAGUUCUAUUGUGGAUGAAGUCAAUCAGUUCUUCAGGAGCACACUGAAGAGAAACCUCGGCAGGGUACGCCCAGAUGUGCAAGGCACUGCAGUGAACUUGAACAUUGAAAGAGACAACAAGGGCUAUCCACCUUUACACAGUAAUCCAUGUGAGGAUCUAUCUUAUCAGCUCAGUAGUAUCAACAUUUCAGAUAAUCAUGGGUCUUUGAAGCAGGAGGAACAUAGCUCUAGCGGUGAGCACCAGGAAAUGAAAUCUGCUUCACAUCUUGUAACUAGUUCUUUAGUUAGUGUGAGCAAUGGGAUGUCAACGAAGGUGCACAAAGAGGUGGAUGGUGAUCGGUGUGCCACCAUUGACAAUUUAUCAGAUCUCACAGGGGACUACAGAACAAAUUUUAACAAUCUCCUCUAUUCACAGAGUUGCCAUCAAGACUAUCCAGUUCAUCCAAUUUACUAUCCAAUGCUUGCCCCACCACCUGUACAAUAUCAGAACAAACACUCACUGAAUGGUCAUAACAGAAAAAAUGCUUAUGGAUAUCCCAGUGCAAACAGAAUGGCCCCUGGUCCUUAUUCACCUGGCUACUUCUUCUUAAAGCCGUUUUAUCGCACUGAGGAUCCUAUGCAACCUCAUGGAGCAGUCACCUACUUCCCCGACCCAGAUAAUAUUCAUGGAAGGGGCUUUAUUCAUCCACAUGACAGUAAACUUGAGUUUGGGACCUUGGGGGCAUUGCACAUGGAAGUUAGGAGUGCUUCCCAAAAUCAAGCUAACAGACCAUAUUCUGCUUCUGACACUAAACCUUCUUCAACCCCGAGAUCGAACUCUCCUGGACAAAAUCCUGGAACGGGUUAUAGAUCUAAUGUAAUGAGGAAUACUAAGCCAUAUCAUCUCAAGGACAAUGGUGAUUUCCCACCACUAUCCAGUUGACGCGAUAUAUGGCUUACCGCAUAGCAGAGCUGUUGUUUUUUCUGAUCCAACCGGAAAAUACUGAUGUGUGGCGCACACUCAGUGCAGCCAUAGCAGAGGGUUUCUCUUCUAGUCAAGCAUCAUCAUGUACAUCCUAACUUGGUUCUCCAGUCGUCAGAUUCACCUUAUGCGGCGGCGACAAAUGCAAGCUUGCCCUGCAGUAACUGAAGUUUCAGCCCCUACCCCUCCUGGAAAACAGGACAUUUUGUGCCAUGUAGAACUGUAGAUACUUGGGGGCAAAAAUUUAUAUUUCCUUUCGCUUUCUUAAAGUUUUGGCGUUCCCCUUGAGUGGGGAACAGGAUGCAAAGAUGGAUAGAAAAAGGAGAGAAAAAGAGAUAGUUUAGACAUUCCGUUUUUACCUUGUGAGCAUUCGAGGAUUGCCCGGGAGCUCGCUCUUGUAGUGUUAAUCUGUCUGGGUCUUGACUUGCAACUGAAAGACCCCUUGCCCGAAGUAACAUUAGCUGCCUAGAAAUGAUAGGCGUUGCAUAUGUGAGAUUUUGGAGUUGCAGUUAAUACAUGGAAAGAAAUUUUGCUCGUGUUGUGCCUUGCCUUAUCAUUGUUGUUAAUUAUUUUAUAUUU